GGAUUACAUAGGCGGCGGCUUCAUCCGCUCCCAAUUGGUGCUCCUACUCCCUUCAAGGUAUUCCUUGAUUGAUUGUAGGCUGUGUUGGUUGGUUCCUUGAGAGUGUGGUUGGGCGAAUCCUCGAUUCAGGUUGCCGGUUAAAGACGGUGGUUGGCUUCGAGUUUUAUUUGCCAGGUUGCACUAGUUAUCGCUGCUUGCAGCAAGUUAUCCGGCUGUUCUUCAGCUAGUUAUCGGUGUUCUUCCUACGUCGUGAAGAUCGGGACAACGUGACGCAUCAUCUGGUAUCAAAGCUUUCGUUACCAUGGUAGGAAUUUUAUCCCUAGCUACAUAUAUAUUUUGCUUCGUCCUAUCCACCAAAAAGCCUGAAAAAUAUAUUGCUUAGACCUUUGUUUCAAUCUGUUAUUUUAGUGAGUUCGGUUAAGUCGCAGUCCAUUAGAGUCUUUGUUUUAGUUGCUGAUCAUUUAUCCUUCGCGUGUUCUUUGUGCCUCUUUUAUAUCUAAAAAUCCCCACAAAAAAAAUCUCUAUAGCCUAUAUCAUCCUUUGUGUUAACUUUGAUCCUAUCUAGCUAGUGGUUGUUGUUUUAUUUCUGUCUUUAGUUGUGCAAGUAUCAUAAUCUGAUCCCUGUUUUUAGUUCUAUAUAUAAAAAAAAGUGUGUCAAAAAAAAAGUGCAAAAAUAAAGUGAAGUGAAAAAAAAAGUUGAGAAAGGUUCAGAGAGAAAGUCUGAAAGAUUAGUUGGUUUAUGUGCACAAGUGCUGAAAGUUUCAUAUCAAGUUCUACAACCAGUUUGCUAUCUUUGUUUGGUGCAAAACUUUGGUUGGGUCUGAUUGCAACACUUGCAUCCCAAUCAUACUCCUUGUUUGCAUCAAUUCUGAAAUUUCUUUGCGUGUGUGUGAUCUAUUUAUACACUUCGAAUCUUUUGAUCAGCACUAGGCAGAGAACUUCUAGUUUGGAUCGUUACUUAACUUUACAACAACUAGAAUUCAGAUUGCAUUCCUUGUGUAUUACUCCCUACCAAGCUCCACAUAAAAAAAACCAUCGUAAUCGGUAAUCUCUGUUCUUGUAUUCGCCUCGCCAUCACUUUCAGUUGCCACCACACAUUUGUUUUCCUUGUAAUCUGCAGCAGAGGAAUUCAUAAGAGCCUUGGUGGUUAGAGAGGUGAGUUGUGAGGGCCACCAAAUUUUCAUAUUCCACAAAUACAAAUUAUUUGUAUUCAGCUAACCUUACAGGAAGAUGGGUGAUGGAAUAGAGGAUUGUGUCACUUUGGCACAAUUUAAUGAACUCCGACAAAGCAUAGAAGAAAAGCA
rnacentral:lncRNA from 1 species